rnacentral:rRNA from 1 species
GCCCUGGCAGUCAGAGGCGAUGAAGGGCGUGCUAAUCUGCGAUAAGCGCCGGUAAGGUGAUAUGAACCGUUAUAACCGGCGAUACCCGAAUGGGGAAACCCAGUGUGAUUCGUCACACUAUCAUUAACUGAAUCCAUAGGUUAAUGAGGCGAACCGGGGGAACUGAAACAUCUAAGUACCCCGAGGAAAAGAAAUCAACCGAGAUUCCCCCAGUAGCGGCGAGCGAACGGGGAGGAGCCCAGAGCCUGAAUCAGCAUGUGUGUUAGUGGAAGCGUCUGGAAAGGCGCGCGAUACAGGGUGACAGCCCCGUACACAAAAGCGCAUGUGCUGUGAGCUCGAUGAGUAGGGCGGGACACGUGGUAUCCUGUCUGAAUAUGGGGGGACCAUCCUCCAAGGCUAAAUACUCCUGACUGACCGAUAGUGAACCAGUACCGUGAGGGAAAGGCGAAAAGAACCCCGGCGAGGGGAGUGAAAAAGAACCUGAAACCGUGUACGUACAAGCAGUGGGAGCACAGGUUUACCUGUG